rnacentral:tmRNA from 1 species
AAUUAUAGUAAGUUAAGGCCUAGUCCUGCGAGGCAGGAAGGUGAGAUGUCUUAGAAUAGCCCUUGUUGAUGGCGAUUUAAUGUAAGGCACCAUAAAAAUCAACAAAGAAAACUUAUUGCUUUGGUAAGUUUUUAAAAAUUUAAAAGCUAAGUAACAGUUCGGUUGUUUUCAGCCAGAGUGUUAUCGAAAAUCAAUUGAAAACUAAAUUUGUAGAAAGCUGUUUUUUCACUUGUUUGGACGAGGGUUCGAUUCCCUCCGACUCCACUA